rnacentral:rRNA from 1 species
UACAGAGGUCCCAAGCGUUGUUCGGAUUCAUUGGGCGUAAAGGGUGCGUAGGCGGCGCGGUAAGUCGGGUGUGAAAUCUCGGAGCUUAACUCCGAAACUGCAUUCGAUACUGCCGUGCUUGAGGACUGGAGAGGAGACUGGAAUUCCUGGUGUAGCGGUGAAAUGCGCAGAUAUCGGGAGGAAUACCGAUGGCGAAGGCAGGUCUCUGGGCUGACACUGACGCUCAUGCACGAAAGCGUGGGGAGCAAACAGG